UACGUAGGGUGCAAGCGUUGUCCGGAUUUAUUGGGCGUAAAGAGCGUGUAGGCGGUCAGGUAGGUCAGCUGUGAAAACUCGAGGCUCAACCUCGAGACGCCGGUUGAAACCAUCUGACUAGAGUCCGGAAGAGGAGAGUGGAAUUCCUGGUGUAGCGGUGAAAUGCGCAGAUAUCAGGAAGAACACCCGUGGCUAAGGCGGCUCUCUGGGCCGUUACUGACGCUGAGGAGCGAAAGCGUGGGGAGCGAACAGG
rnacentral:rRNA from 1 species